UGCCUCGACAAUUUCGAGCAAUUAUUUUCUGUUGAAUUUUUUGCUUUUUUGACAUAUUUGCUUCGAGUUGAGUCUUGGAUUUUUCGAUGGCUUCUCUUCUGGUUCUAGUUCUUUGUUUGCGCCGCAUGUGUACGUUUCCAUUAAAAGCGACCUUGUUAAGGACCCGGCUCUGUUUUUGUUAUUACACCUAUCUCCAAGAAAACCAUUUCAAUUUACCAGGUUUCAUUUUGGACUUGUUUAAAUAAUAUAUGUUUUUAUCUAGAC